rnacentral:rRNA from 1 species
GAUGAACGCUAGCGACAGGCUUAACACAUGCAAGUCGAGGGGGCAGGCGGGGGUAGCAAUACCCGCCGGCGACCGGCGCACGGGGUGAGUAACGCGUAUGCAACUUACCUAUCAGAGGGGGAUAACCCCGGCGAAAGUCGGACUAAUACCGCAUGAAGCAGGGAUCCCGCAUGGGAAUAUUUGCUAAAGAUUCAUCGCUGAUAGAUAGGCAUGCGUUCCAUUAGGCA